rnacentral:rRNA from 1 species
UACGGGGGGGGCAAGCGUUGUUCGGAUUUACUGGGCGUAAAGGGCGCGUAGGCGGCCAGCACAAGUCAGUUGUGAAAUCUCCGAGCUUAACUCGGAAAGGUCAACUGAUACUGUGCGGCUAGAGUGCGGAAGGGGCAACUGGAAUUCUUGGUGUAGCGGUGAAAUGCGUAGAUAUCAAGAGGAACACCUGCGGCGACGGCGGGUUGCUGGGCCGACACUGACGCUGAGGCGCGAAAGCCAGGGGAGCGAACGGG